rnacentral:lncRNA from 1 species
GGCCACGCCCGGGGCAGCCCUGCGCAGCCUGGUUUGCCUCCAGGCUCGCCCGUCAGUCCAGUGAGAGGAUCGACAGACCCCCCCAAACCACAGGACCACGGCUCCCCCCUACCCCGAGCCGGAGGGCUCACUGCUGCAACACGGAGACGACCUCUGGGGCUGGGUUUGAAUCGUGCCCCUUGUCAGCCGUGUGAUCCUGAGCCUUGGCCCCUGGUGACUCCCGGGUCGCAGAGAUGGACAGACCCGAGGGAAGUGGGCUGCGGCCCGCGGCCAAGCCCUGCAGCGGCAGGUGGAAAGGUCAUCCUGUUGAAUAUUCACAGUAACCUUAGGUAUCCCCAGUCAACAGGAAAGAGAAAGCAAACCGAUGCCUGUGCUGCCCUGAUUUCAACAGAGCAGCCAACCUUUUAUCCAUUGCACACACAAGCUUCCUCACGAGACCUUCUGUAAAUGUAUAUAUAUAUAUAAAAUAAUUUUGAAAAUCCUUAUGCUGAAUAGUCUCCAAAAAUCCUUGUGCUGAAUAAUCUCUGCGGUCC